rnacentral:rRNA from 1 species
GAUGAACGCUGGCGGCGUGCCUAAUACAUGCAAGUCGAGCGAACAGACGAGGAGCUUGCUCCUCUGACGUUAGCGGCGGACGGGUGAGUAACACGUGGAUAACCUACCUAUAAGACUGGGAUAACUUCGGGAAACCGGAGCUAAUACCGGAUAAUAUAUUGAACCGCAUGGUUCAAUAGUGAAAGACGGUUUUGCUGUCACUUAUAGAUGGAUCCGCGCCGCAUUAGCUAGUUGGUAAGGUAACGGCUUACCAAGGCAACGAUGCGUAGCCGACCUGAGAGGGGGACCGCCCAACCGGGACCGGGGAACCGGGCCAGACUCCUACGGGAGGCAGCAGUAGGGAAUCUUCCGCAAUGGGCGAAAGCCUGAGGGAGCAACGCCGGGUGAGUGAUGAAGGUCUUGGGAUCGUAAAACGUUGUUAUUAGGGAAAAAAAAAUGUGUAAGUAACUAGGCAGGUCUUGACGGUACCUAAUCAGAAAGCCCCGGCUAACUACGU